GCCAUUACCAUGCCUGGCCCUGCCCUUGUAAUUUAUAUAGCCUUUUAUAAUUUCCAAAUUUCUUCUAGAUUCUUCACAGCUACCCCCUGAAAUGGGCGAGGAUAGGAUUUUCAUCGCAUUUAGCAGAUGCCAAGAACUCAAAGAAGUGAAACAACUUCUCCAGGGUUAGAGGGCUUAGUUGACCAUCCCGAGUCCAAAAAUCUGAAACCUGAGGUACUCCGAAGUCCAAAACUUUUUGAGGGCUGAUAUGACGCCCAAAGGAAAUGAUGAGUGGAGCAUUUUGUAUUUUGUGUUUUUGGAUCUGGGAUGCUUAACUGACAGGGUCUCCCUCUGUCACCCAGGCUGGAAUGCAGU
rnacentral:lncRNA from 1 species